rnacentral:rRNA from 1 species
GACGAACGCUGGCGGCGCGCCUAACACAUGCAAGUCGAACGAGAGAUGAGGAGCUUGCUCUUCAAAUCGAGUGGCGAACGGGUGAGUAACGCGUGAGGAACCUGCCUCAAAGAGGGGGACAACAGUUGGAAACGACUGCUAAUACCGCAUAAGCCCACGGCUCGGCAUCGAGCAGAGGGAAAAGGAGCAAUCCGCUUUGAGAUGGCCUCGCGUCCGAUUAGCUAGUUGGUGAGGUAACGGCCCACCAAGGCGACGAUCGGUAGCCGGACUGAGAGGUUGAACGGCCACAUUGGGACUGAGACACGGCCCAGACUCCUACGGGAGGCAGCAGUGGGGAAUAUUGCACAAUGGGGGAAACCCUGAUGCAGCGACGCCGCGUGGAGGAAGAAGGUCUUCGGAUUGUAAACUCCUGUUGUUGAGGAAGAUAAUGACGGUACUCAACAAGGAAGUGACGGCUAACUACGUGCCAGCAGCCGCGGUAAAACGUAGGUCACAAGCGUUGUCCGGAAUUACUGGGUGUAAAGGGAGCGCAGGCGGGAGAACAAGUUGGAAGUGAAAUCCAUGGGCUCAACCCAUGAACUGCUUUCAAAACUGUUUUUCUUGAGUAGUGCAGAGGUAGGCGGAAUUCCCGGUGUAGCGGUGGAAUGCGUAGAUAUCGGGAGGAACACCAGUGGCGAAGGCGGCCUACUGGGCACCAACUGACGCUGAGGCUCGAAAGUGUGGGUAGCAAACAGGAUUAGAUACCCUGGUAGUCCACACCGUAAACGAUGAUUACUAGGUGUUGGAGGAUUGACCCCUUCAGUGCCGCAGUUAACACAAUAAGUAAUCCACCUGGGGAGUACGACCGCAAGGUUGAAACUCAAAGGAAUUGACGGGGGCCCGCACAAGCAGUGGAGUAUGUGGUUUAAUUCGACGCAACGCGAAGAACCUUACCAAGUCUUGACAUCCCUUGACGAACAUAGAAAUAUGUUUUCUCUUCGGAGCAAGGAGACAGGUGGUGCAUGGUUGUCGUCAGCUCGUGUCGUGAGAUGUUGGGUUAAGUCCCGCAACGAGCGCAACCCUUAUGGUCAGUUACUACGCAAGAGGACUCUGGCCAGACUGCCGUUGACAAAACGGAGGAAGGUGGGGAUGACGUCAAAUCAUCAUGCCCUUUAUGACUUGGGCUACACACGUACUACAAUGGCGUUAAACAAAGAGAAGCAAGACCGCGAGGUGGAGUAAAACUCAGAAACAACGUCCCAGUUCGGACUGCAGGCUGCAACUCGCCUGCACGAAGUCGGAAUUGCUAGUAAUCGUGGAUCAGCAUGCCACGGUGAAUACGUUCCCGGGCCU